rnacentral:rRNA from 1 species
UUUCCUACGGGAGGCAGCAGUGUGGAUURUUGCACAAUGGGGGCGCAWRCCUGAUGCAGCCAUGCCGCGUGURUGAAGAAGGCCUUCGGGUUGUAAAGUACUUUCAGCGGGGAGGAAGGGAGUAAAGUUAAUACCUUUGCUCAUUGACGUUACCCGCAGAAGAAGCACCGGCUAACUCCGUGCCAGCAGCCGCGGUAAUACGGAGGGUGCAAGCGUUAAUCGGAAUUACUGGGCGUAAAGCGCACGCAGGCGGUUUGUUAAGUCAGAUGUGAAAUCCCCGGGCUCAACCUGGGAACUGCAUUUGAUACUGGCAAGCUUGAGUCUCGUAGAGGGGGGUAGAAUUCCAGGUGUAGCGGUGAAAUGCGUAGAGAUCUGGAGGAAUACCGGUGGCGAAGGCGGCCCCCUGGACGAAGACUGACGCUCCAUUGCGAAAGGCCGUGGGGAGGCAAAAAGGAAUAGAUACCCUGGGGGUCGCUAAG